ACCUCAACUUUUCUAACUCGGUCAUCAGAAGGCCUCCGUUUAAUGUGACCAAACCAUCUAAGGGUCAAGCCACACAUCCACCAAGAGAUUGGAUCCAGACCUUCUGGAGCUAUACGAGAGCUUCCACAGUACUCACUUGACGGGGUCGAGUUUUCUCCCACCCGGGGAGAAUGAUGGAGACAUUGACAAGAGGUUUUGACGCGUUUAUCAGAGGCGACACAGGAGAUCGAUGGGCAUUCUGGAGAGUCUUUACUUUUGAUGCAUUUUCUGUAUUAGCAUUUUAUGUAUUAAUCAUUUUAUUUUAGUUUUUUCGUUUUUGCCCUUAUGGGUAGUUGGUCGCUAUUGUAGCCCGAGGGGCAUUCUAGUCUUUUGUUUUAUUUUUCAUUUUGAGGCCUAUAUAUAUGGCCAUUUUCUUAUGUAUGAGGAUAAUGAAUAUUUGAAUAAAAAUUUUAUGUUUGUCU